rnacentral:rRNA from 1 species
GACGAACGCUGGCGGCGUGCUUAACACAUGCAAGUCGAACGGAAGCGCCCUGCUUGGGUGGGGUGCUCGAGUGGCGAACGGGUGAUUCACACGUAAGUAACCUGCCGUUGACGUUGGGAUAACUUCAGGAAACUUGGGCUAAUACCGGAUAGGAGCUCCUGCUGCAUGGAGGGGGUUGGAUAGUGUCGGUGGUUGGGGAUGGACUCGCGGCUUAUCUGCUUGGUGGUGGGGUAGUGGCUUACCAAGGCUUUGACGGGUAGCCGGCCUGAGAGGGUGACCGGCCACAUUGGGACUGAGAUACGGCCCAGACUGCUACGGGAGGCAGCAGGGGCAAAUAUUGCACAAUGGGCGGACGCCUGAUGAAGCGACGCCGCGUGUGGGAUGAGGGCCUUCGGGUUAUAAACCGCUUUCGCCUGUGACGAAGCGUGAGUGACGGUAAUGGGUAAAGAAGCACCGGCUAACUACGUG